UCUGACCUCUUGUGUUUCUCUCUUUUCAUCCAAAAGAAUAUGAUCUAUCUUUCCUUUCCAAUCUCUGUUCAGCUCUUCCUUUGAAGCUUUUCAUGAGUUUCUUUGAUAUGUUGAAACUUUGAGAGCUAAUGUCAUCUUUAAACUAUUUCUGUUGUUUGAUUUCUUUAUUUUGCAUUUUAUAGGUUUUUCCUUCAUUAGAUUGAUGUUCAGUUGUGUAUCUAAUUCUAUUUAAAUUAGAUCUUGCAAUGUUGGAUAUAAUAUGUUUUCUUUUUUAUUGGAUGUUGGAUAUAAAACUUUUGUAGCUCCUAAGAAGUUUUAAAUGGUAGGUGAUCAUUCUGCACUACUUACUGGAUAUAAUACGUAUGGUUCACUUGAGUUUUGAAUCUAUCUCAUUUUUUUAGGUCGUGUCCUAAAAUGAUUUGGCAAAGAAAAUGGACGGGGUGAAUUUCUCAUCAACAUUACAACGGCCCCACCUAGCUCUCAUGGCAAGAAGUUCAUGGGAAAGAUUUCCGAAGAAAAGUCUGGUGGGUUUGUCACUUGUGAGAGCCACUGAGAUUGCCCUGCAAAUCUUUGGCAUCAAUUGAUCCCAACUUUAAAUUUCUAUAAGAAUUGCAACUUCUAAUUAGGAAAUUAGAGUUUCUAAAACAGUCCUUAAGAGCUCUUCUAUUUCAAAACACCGAUGCCAUUGAGGUUUGUAGUUGUUCACUAACACCCACACCGUUGACACAUGGUCACGAAUUAAAGUUUUCGUGUAUAGUUUUUCUAACAGUAUGUUGCUGUGUUUGCAUUGUCUACUUUGUGUAGUGUGACUUGCAUCCUAAUAUGGCCACGUAUAAUUAGAAUCCUUCCUAUCCUCAGUGCAAGCAUCUGUUUCAGUUUCUCAGUGUUCAUCGAUCACCAGAUGGAAGGGAUUUUUUUCAUCAUUGGCGUGGUGCUAAAUGCAGCUGCCCAGAACCUUUCCAUGCUCAUUAUAGGAAGGAUCUUCCUGGGGUGUGGAGUCGGCAUUAAUCAGUGUCAUUACUAAGAUCAAGAUUCACGGAUUUUUGGUGCAACAUAAUAUCUAUAAGUCUGAUAAUUCAUUGUUGAAUACAUGCCAAUAUUUCAUUAGCAGUUUCAAGUUAUUUUUUAAAAAUCUUUUUCUUUUCUUUUGUUUUUGUUGAUUGGCUGGUAAGCAAGGUUCAAAUCUGAGAACUCAAUGUUGAAAUGCACCCUGUCUACCAUUGAUCUACUGGCUCAAAUUCUUGCAGUUUUGCUACCAUCUAUUUUUUAUUUUCUUGCUGGUAAGAUCUUUUUUCUGAUUGUUGUGGAUGCUUAUAUUCCUUCUUGUGGCAGGUUCAGCUGCACAGUAUCCGUUCCUCGGUAGUUCAACUAAUUUGCAUCUGCAAAAACUAGUUGCUGGAAAUAGCAGUUAUGUUGAUGUUGAAUUCAUCGAUCCUGUGAUUAUGGCCGUUAGCAGAGGGAAGCUUCCACUGCCGAUGACGCACCAGAUCUCUCCCGACUACAACUUCAACAUGUUGGCUAAUUUCUCUUAGAUGGACCAGAGGCUUUAGUUGUUGCAGUCAAGAUCUAGUAAUCUGAAUUAGAAUCCAUUGAUGACAGUUGAUCAAAGCUUUAGUUGUUGAAUUCUUUUUUUUUUUACACCCUAGAUUUCUAUUCCAAAUAGAAACUAAAAUUUCAAUUUGAAAAGUGGGUGUGAUUCUCAUGUUUUUCUCCAUGAGUUGUUACCUUAUGAGAACAAAAAUGCAAGCCAUUUGAUCAAUGGCCACUGAAUAUGCAUAGGUUUAUGAAUGUGUUAAAAUAAA